UGGAAGUAAAAGUGUAAAAGGUUUCGUAGGUGAACUGCGGAAGGAUCAUUAAUAAAUGGCUCUGAUUUGGAGCGCUUAAUAAUCCUACCUUUGUGAAUUUGUUGUUUGAAAUAAUUUUUUUUAAAAUUAUUGAUUGUCUUUCCCUGUUGAAUUGGAGCGUUUUCGGACGUAAGAUUCGCAGGGAUAGUCAGUAAUUUUAAAAGACUUUUUUAAAUUAACUUUGUGUGUAUUCAUUUGUCUAAAAUUAUUUUAUAAUAUAAAAACAACUUUGACAAUGGAUCUCUUGGUUCUCGCAACGAUGAAGAACGCAGCAAAUGCGAUAAGUAUGUGAAUUGCAGAAUACGUGAAUCAUCGAAUCUUCGAACGCAUAUUGCACUUUUUUAGUUUACUAAAAAGUAUGUCUGUUUGAGUAUCAGUAAAUAUCUCAUAAAAACAUUGUUUUUAUGGUUAUGAGUGUUUUACAACGAUACAAGUUGUUUCACUUUAAAUUUUUUUAAAAUUUGAAUUUUUUCUAAUUUAAAAUAAAUUGGAUAAAAUUUCCCGUAAAAAGAAUACCUAAACAUUUUAAUUUAAAUUAGAAACCUUCAAAAAAAAAGGAAAUUUAAUAAAUAACUUGAUCUCAAAUCAGAUAAGAGUACCCGCUGAACUUAAGCAUAUCAAUAAGCGGAGGAAAGAAACUACAAGAUUCCUUAGUAACGGCGAGUGAAGCGGGAAGAGCUCAAAUUGAAAUCUUCAAGUUUUACCUUGACGAAUUGUAGUUUAAAGAAGUGUUUUCUGUUGAAGUUUUGGUAAAGGUUCUUGGAAUAGGACAUCAUAGAGGGUGAGAAUCCGUAUUUGACCAUUAUUUUCAGCUGUGUGAUACACUUUCAAAGAGUCGGAUUGUUUGGAAUGCAGUCCAAAUGGUGGUAAAUUUCAUCUAAAGCUAAUAUUGGCGAGAGACGAUAGCGAACAAUACGUGAGGAAAGAUGAAAAGAACUUGAAAAGAGAGUUAAACAGUACGUGAAAUUGUCAAAAGGAAGCGUUUGACACCAGUGUUGUUUUCUCGAAAAUCAAUUAAAAAGAUUGGAUUUUUGUGUAUUGACUUAACAGCUUUCUUCACUCUUUCUGCUUUUUUAUGCACUUUUCGUUAACAAGUCAACAUCAGUUUCUUUGUUGUAAAAGGUCAUUGAAGGUGGCUUUCUUUCGGAGAAAGUGUUUAUAGCCUUUGAUCUCUGCAAUCGAGAGACUGAGGUCUGCAGCGUAGAUCCUCGGGGUUAGAUACAUUUGUGCUAAGUUAUAACUUUUCAUAGACAACUUGUUGACUAUGUUAGUCAUGUAGCUUACUCCUUAUGCUAUUUACCUACGCUUAGGAUGUUGA
rnacentral:misc_RNA from 1 species